CUCCCCCUUGCGCCGCUAGAGGCGCUGGUGUACUAUGAGGUAUUCUAAAUAAACAUGGCGUACGCUUCGUACACAGUGCCGAAACUGAAAAAAAGAAUUAAUAUUACGCGGCGCUGUAACUACGGGAAGGAAAACCGAUCUCAUAGAAAGGUUGGAAGCAUACGAACGGAAUUUCAAUUUUAGCGGUCCCGUCAUUAAACUGCCAGCAGAAAGGGAUGUAGAAUGGCCAGCUACUGGGUAUAAACAAAUGACAUCGGGCCAUUAUGACCUUUUGCCACACAUAACAGAAGCCCAUAUCGAAGGAUAUUUUCAAUAUAGACAAGCAGUCGACAGACAAAUGAUGGGCAAUACAAAGGCCAUUGUGAAAGGAAAAUUACUGCUGGAGUCAGAGAGAGUUGAAGCACUGAGCAUUUACUGUCAAGAUGAGGACUUUUUCCUUACAGGAUUUGUCAGAGCUUCAAUGAAGAAAAAGGUAGUUUUUUAUUUAAUAAAUGAACAAUAACAAAUUUAAAAUAGAAAUCAAUGUGUGUUUAUAGCGUAAAUGUAGAGCCAGUCAAAAUUAGUUCUUAUGUGGAUGAAAAUAUAUGGCUAUAUUUAACAGGUGUCUUACAAUUAUCGUAUAAGAAUUGACAGAAAAACAGGUGAAAUUAAAAAUUCAGACUGUGAAUGCCCUGCUGGGAAGGGCCCCAAUGGAACCUGUAAACAUGUAGCUGCUGUUAUUUUGCUCUUGGUGAAAUUUCGGGAAACACAUAUAAUAGCCAUUCCUAGGGGAUGUACGGAAAAUCUUCAGACUUUUCAUAAACCAAAAAAGUCUUUUAAAGUUGAGCUAACUGUGUUAAAAAAGUUUCUUCUUUCUUUUUUUUU